AGAGGUUACUCAUCAUACUGUAACUUGAGUUCUUUGAGAUGUUUUCUUCCUAUGGGUGCUCCACUACAGGAUGCAUGGCUACCCUUGACUGGAGAAUGCAAAGCAGUAUUCGAGGGUCCAUGCCUGCACAGAGCAGCACCCUCUGCCUCCAAAUGAGGGCACAAAAGAUGGCCUGGACCCACCACCACUUAGUUUCUUCUUGACUGUGAAGCAGAGCCACCACAGACAAGAAAAAGGAGGGCGAGAGACAGAGGACCCAGAGGGACAAAACAUCUUGAAGGACUCAAGUUACUGAAGGUAGUCUAAAAUUUUGGAAAGCAGAACCUCUGAUGCUGGAGAAGAGUGAAGAGAACAUCAGGAAUGGAAGUGUUCCCACUUCUGAAGCUGUACCCUGAAGGAGUGGCCUUUUACCGUGUGAAGGAAGCCUAUCGAAUGACUCCAGUCCAGAACGUGGAUGUAGAGUGUGACCUUUAUGUGGACCACUUCCCCUGCGCAGUGUCCCCUUUGAGACACCGCUCAUGGAGCUCCGUCUGCAGCCGAGGACAGUUGAGAAGGAAAUGAUGGGGGCCAUCACCACAAGGCGGCUACUGAGGCACAUGCACCUCGACCAGACACUGCUAACAAAAGUCUCCUAUCAAUGAUGCUGGGAUGCACAGACACCUACAGUGGAGCAUCCACAGGGACAGCACUCGAAGAAGAAUGCACGUUUCCUACUUCAAAACUCACUUUAGAAGCUAUGCCAUUAGGAGGGGACCUGAUAUCUGCUGAUCCUCUGUUACAAGACGACAGAUUAAAGACCCAAACAAUAUAAAGAAGACACUCUCAGAUUCAUGGGGGCCAGUAAGCUUAUUAGCAGUGUGCAGCUUUUUAUUGUUUUAAUAUGUUUUUCUGUAAUACUUUCACCUUAAGAAUAGAUGUACUAGCUUAGAAAUUGCUACGUAAUAACUGAAGCAUGAGCAGUACACUGCCUGAGGGAGGAAGGCAAAGACCUGCUGAGGCUGGGAAUUCACAAUAUAAGUAGGGAACUGUGCAGCUUGGAAAUAAAUCAGUCAGGAAAGAUAGAAGCAUGUCUCCGCCCAAGAGAAGUAACAGCUAGGGAGCCAGAAGCCUAAGAGUGAGUUCCCUUGCUGGACCAGAGAGAGAAAAGACAGGUGCAGCUGCCCUGAAUUGUGACUGGUAUAUCUAACAGUAAUGGUGUGUUGCAGGAAAAAAAACAACGGAUAUUUCUAUAUAAUACAAGGAAAGUUAUUGGCAAUACCAAAGUUAAAUCCCUGUUUUACUAAAAUUUCAUAUUACAAUUCUGAACUGAAUUUAGUGCUCACUGAAUUACAGUGGUUCUAUCCUGCUCUGCAAUAUCCACUAUUCCACUUCUACAUAGAAAAUGAUAGUCAAUGAAGUACCAAAAUUGAAUUGUUUGGGAGUUUUUUCAUAACACUGAUACACAUACAUACAUAUAUACCCCUCUGCUCUUCCACUCCCAAUUAGGAGAAGACCAAUGCAUUCAUUUUAGUUUGGGAAUUAAGCAGUAUUUGAACCCUGCUCUCUGAAAGGGAAAGAUGAAAUCAUGAUCACAGGAUAUGUUGGUUUCGUUUCAACGCAGAGUAAGGUUUUCCUAUUUUAGUUUGAGAAGAAAUCAAAUAUUGUACUUCAUUUUUGCUUUUAUAUACUUCUGAUAGCUAUUUCUAAUAAGUAUUCAAAAGAAUCAUAAACAUGUUG